UCCUGUGUCAAGAUCGCGUGCGUGCGUUCUUCCAUCUCUUUUAGAGUCCAGAAUUCUAACAGCCAUCUUCGUUGAGCUCCAAGGUGAGGAUCCCCGGCGUGUACCCCUGACCAUGGCCUCUCUUUCUUCUCUAUCCCUGUCGGCGCUCAGUGCCAAGGCAGCGCCCUGGUCGCUCGGUCAGCCAUGGCCAUGGCCGGGCGCAGCUCCUACGGUGAACUCUGGCCCCCACGGUACGGCGUAUUUCUGCCUCUUGCCCGUGCGCGACCCAGCUCGGCAGGCGCGACCUUGUCCACCAUGGCGCUGACGUUGAGCCCCCACCCUCCCCCAGUCGAGCCCCUAGCCAAUUAGUCGCUGCUGGCCGAGCCCGGCCGCUGCCAGUGUUGUAAGCCGCAGCCUCCCCUACGCGACCAACCUAGAAUCCUAGAUGCAAGUGCGUCCAUUGUUGUAGGAAGAAGACAACUCCUCUCAUCGUGGGUUUUGUGUGGGAGAGAGAGGUGCGUGGGCCCACCCGAUUCCCUGCAUGCAACCUGCACGGCAACAUCCACACUCAUGCAUGCAGCAAAAUUAGGAAACCACACUAGACCGAGAUUUGUUGUGGAUGUGCUCUUUGUGUCGUGUCUUCCGGCCAAUAGAUUUACGACGCAUCACUUGGCCACCAUGUUUUAUAAAAAAAGACCCUGCUUUUAUUUCAGAAUUAAUUUACUAUUUCUCUGAGUCUCGCAAAAGUCAUUUGGUACCCCAAAAAUAUAUAUCUAAUUGUUUAUAUGCCCUUAUAUAUUUAAACCUCAUGUGGUAAAUCCGUUUCAAUUUGUUCCCAAUUGUGUUAACCUCGUAACAAAUGACAAUUUCGUAUUAGUAAUAUUAUUUGGUCACGAUACGUGUUUUAAUUAAUUAGUUGAUUAUUUAUUUACCUGAGCUAUUAAAGUAGUAAUUUACUUAAACUAAUUUAUGGUUUUAGUUGCACUUUAUAAGUACCUGUUAAUAUGAUUACGCUUACUCGAAUGUUUUCGAACUAAUACUUGUUUAGUAUAAACGCGACACCUAUUCAGUAUUUCUCGCCUGUCUUGCGCGUUGUUCACACGUGUGGCGCUUGUCGUCGCGCGUUGUUCGCGCGUCGUUCAUGCUGUUUCACAUGUCGCGUGUGCUGUUUCACGUGUCGCGUGUCGUUCACGCACGUCACGUGCUGUCCGUGGGCGUAAUUAAACUAUGUUGCAUAUAACCACUUGUGUUAGUUAAUUAAUUACUUGUUUAAUCCGACAACUAUUAGAAUAGAAGAUUAAUCGAAACUAAGCAGUAGUUUUUGUUUAAUAAAGGUCGAUUAAUAUAAUCACGUCGAAUCAAAUGUUUUAACUAUAGUACUUGUUUAGAGUAAAUGUGAUAUCCUCUCGACCGUAGCUUCGCCUACUGUGCUUCUUUUUCUCGUGUGACCGCGGUAGCGAGCUCUAUUUCGUAUUGCUCGUUUUUUUAUAAUGGUUUUCUUUGUAUGGUGUAAUGUUCUUAUGCAUAUAUGUUUGUUUGCUUGUGCCUGUUCGUAUUCGCUUCAUGUUGCGAUUAGAUCGCGAUUCGUUUUCGAGCUUCGAGGAAUCGACAGUCAAGCUUCGGUGACCAUGUGAUCAGGUUCUUUGAGUUCAAGAAAGUUAAAGACCCUGAGCAUCUGUUUGGUGAAGGCAAAUGUCCCUUGACCCAUCUAUGCCCUACUCAUUUUACAAUUCACUCCCCACAUUCACACAAUUUAUACCUAAGGAUUGACUAGCUUUUGUUUAUCAUGUCCUUGUUUACCUAUGUGGGUUGGGUUAUUUUGGUUUAGCUUUAUG
rnacentral:lncRNA from 1 species